rnacentral:sRNA from 1 species
UGCCGGUGGUGACUUGAUAGGGUCCGA